CCUACGGGGGGCUGCAGUAGGGAAUCUUUCACAAUGGGCGAAAGCCUGAUGGAGCAACGCCGCGUGCAGGACGAAGGCCUUCGGGUUGUAAACUGCUUUUAUAUCCGAGAAAUAUGAUGGUAAGAUAUGAAUAAGGACCGGCUAACUACGUGCCAGCAGCCGCGGUCAUACGUAGGGUCCAAGCAUUAUCCGGAGUGACUGGGUGUAAAGAGUUGCGUAGGUGGCAUAGUAAGUAGAUAGUGAAAUCUGGUGGCUCAACCAUUCAGACUGUUAUCUAAACUGCUAAGCUCGAGACCGUUAGGGGUAACUGGAAUUUCUAGUGUAGGAGUGAAAUCCGUAGAUAUUAGAAGGAACACCGAUAGCGUAGGCAGGUUACUGGGACGGUUCUGACACUAAGGCACGAAAGCGUAGGGAGCGAACGGGAUUAGAUACCCCUGUAGUC
rnacentral:rRNA from 1 species